UGGGGAAUAUUGCACAAUGGGCGCAAGCCUGAUGCAGCCAUGCCGCGUGUAUGAAGAAGGCCUUCGGGUUGUAAAGUACUUUCAGCGGGGAGGAAGGGAGUAAAGUUAAUACCUUUACUCAUUGACGUUACCCCCAGAAGAAGCACCGGCUAACUCCGUGCCAGCAGCCGCGGUAAUACGGAGGGUGCAAGCAUUAAUCGGAAUUACUGGGCGUAAAGCGCACGCAGGCGGUUUGUUAAGUCAGAUGUGAAAUCCCCGGGCUCAACCUGGGAACUGCAUCUGAUACUGGCAAGCUUGAGUCUCGUAGAGGGGGGUAGAAUUCCAGGUGUAGCGGUGAAAUGCGUAGAGAUCUGGAGGAAUACCGGUGGCGAAGGCGGCCCCCUGGACGAAGACUGACGCUCAGGUGCGAAAGCGUGGGGAGCAAACAGG
rnacentral:rRNA from 1 species